rnacentral:rRNA from 1 species
CGCCAUUAAUCUAGCCCAUAAUACCAUCUCUCAUUACUUAUUUUUACUGUCAAAUAAACCAUUCUCAACCUCAAGUAAAUGCGAUUGAAAAAGAACUUGGAGCUAUAUAACUAGUACCGCAAGGGAAAGAUGAAAUAGAAAUUAAACAAAUAUUUAAGCACAAAACAGCAAAGAUAAUAUCUUGUACCUUUUGCAUCAUGGUCCAACAAGUCCAACCAGGCAAAAAGAUUUUUAGUCUGAUCCCCCGAAACUAAGUGAGCUACUCCGAAGUAACUUAAGUAAACCCGUCUCUGUGGCAAAAGAGUGGGAAAACCUCCGAGUAGAAGUGACAUACCAACCGAACUUAGUGAUAGCUGGUUACUCAAGAAAAGAAUUUUAGUUCUAUCCUAGGGCAUUUAAGCAAUAUGUACACCCAUAAGCAAACCUACCUACCCUGGGACCUAUUCAAUAAGGGUACAGGCUUAUUGAAAAAGGAUACAACCUAGAACCCUGGCUAACGAUUACCACUGCUAUAGACUAAGUUGGCCUAAGAGCAGCCACCUUUUAAAAAGCGUCAAAGCUUACUCUAAGCCCCCCCCCCAAUUCCCCUCAUCACCCGGAACCCGGUAUCAGUAUUGAGUCUUCCUAUACCUUUAUAGAAGAGUUAAUGUUAGAACUAGUAACACAGAAUUUUUUCUCCCUAUGUAAGUGUAAAUCAGAUCGAAUAAAUCGCUGAUAAUUACUCGGUGAUGAGACUAAUGUAAUAACCCCACCCUAGAAAACCCUACCACUUUACCCGUUAACCUAACACAAGAACAUUAGAGAAAGAUUAAAAGACAAAGAAGGAACUCGGCAAACUCAAGUCCCGCCUGUUUACCAAAAACAUCGCCUCUUGUAAUUUAUAUGAGGUAAUGCCUUCCCCAGUGACCAUGUGUUCAACGGCCGCAGUAUUUUAACCGCGCGAAGGUAGCGUAAUCACUUGUUUUCUAAAUAAAGACUAGUAUGAACGGCCACACGAGGACUUAACUGUCUCCUUUGUCUAAUCAGUGAAACUGAUCCCCCCGUGCAGAAGCGGGGAUAACACCAUAAGACGAGAAGACCCUAUGGAGCUUUAAACCAAACUAACUACCUCUCUUAACCUCUAAGGAACUAAUUUGACAAGGUUAGAUUAAUUUAGGUUUUAGGUUGGGGCGACCAUGAAGAAAAACUUAACCUUCUUGACGAUUUACAAACCAAGAGCUACAGCUCUAAGUAUUAAGAUACUUAACCCUCAUUGACCCACUUUGUGAUCAACGGACCAAGUUACCCUAGGGAUAACAGCGCAAUCCAUUUCAAGAGUCCUUAUCGACAAAUGGGUUUACGACCUCGAUGUUGGAUCAGGGCACCCAAGUGGUGCAACCGCUACUAACGGUUCGUUUGUUCAACGAUUAAAGC